rnacentral:rRNA from 1 species
GAGCGUCCUCCCCGAAAGGUUAAACUACCCACUUCUUUUGCAGCCCACUCCCAUGGUGUGACGGGCGGUGUGUACAAGGCCCGGGAACGUAUUCACCGUGACAUUCUGAUUCACGAUUACUAGCGAUUCCGACUUCAUGGAGUCGAGUUGCAGACUCCAAUCCGGACUACGACGCACUUUUUGGGAUUCGCUCACUAUCGCUAGCUUGCUGCCCUCUGUAUGCGCCAUUGUAGCACGUGUGUAGCCCUACUCGUAAGGGCCAUGAUGACUUGACAUCGUCCCCACCUUCCUCCGGUUUAUCACCGGCAGUCUCCCUGGAGUUCCCGACAUUACUCGCUGGCAAACAAGGAUAAGGGUUGCGCUCGUUGCGGGACUUAACCCAACAUUUCACAACACGAGCUGACGACAGCCAUGCAGCACCUGUCUCAGAGCUCCCGAAGGCACACCUGCGUCUCCGCUGGCUUCUCUGGAUGUCAAGAGUAGGUAAGGUUCUUCGCGUUGCAUCGAAUUAAACCACAUGCUCCACCGCUUGUGCGGGCCCCCCUCAAUUCAUUUGAGUU